AUUGAACGCUGGCGGCAUGCUUUACACAUGCAAGUCGAACGGUAACAGGCCGCAAGGUGCUGACGAGUGGCGAACGGGUGAGUAAUGCAUCGGAACGUGCCCAGUCGUGGGGGAUAACGCAGCGAAAGCUGCGCUAAUACCGCAUACGAUCUCUGGAUGAAAGCGGGGGACCGAAAGGCCUCGCGCGAUUGGAGCGGCCGAUGUCAGAUUAGGUAGUUGGUGGGGUAAAGGCCCACCAAGCCAACGAUCUGUAGCUGGUCUUAGAGGACGACCAGCCACACUGGGACUGAGACACGGCCCAGACUCCUACGGGAGGCAGCAGUGGGGAAUUUUGGACAAUUGGCGCAAGCCUGAUCCAGCAAUGCCGCGUGCAGGAAGAAGGCCUUCGGGUUGUAAACUGCUUUUGUACGGAACGAAACGGUCCGGGCUAAUACCCUGGGCUAAUGACGGUACCGUAAGAAUAAGCACCGGCUAACUACGUGCCAGCAGCCGCCGUAACAC
rnacentral:rRNA from 1 species